GCUGUCACAGCGUGGGCAACACCUGCUGCCGUGAUGGCGUACGUAAACGCAGCCUCCUUGCUACCUAGGAAGAAAAGAGUAGAACCUCUUGAGAUGAUCUGACACCAUUGACAUCCCAAAGUUCAUGCCAUGUUGGAACUAAAUUCUGCAUGGAGGUAAAUCUCCAGGAGCAUGACUCUUGAUCUCAAGAUUGAUGUAAGGAGACUAAACUGACCCCUGCUGGUCGGCCUUAAUGAAAAGAGGGCCACACUCUCACGGAAACAAAUCGCAGCCAAAGCAACACGCGCACACACACAAGAACAGAUCACAGGGCUGUACCUACUGACCUACUCUUAGCUCUUGCCCAAAGACGGUCCUCUC